GGAGAGUAGAGGUACCUUUCUUGGCUGAUCCCUUUCGCUGUAUGGCGUGCUCGUUUGGGUUGGGCGUCGGCUAAGAGUGCUCGGAGUGUGGAUUAACUCCAGUCUCCUAUCAGGUGAUUGAUUAUGGAAACGUUUCAACUUCAACCCGUAACAGUUGGAUUCACAACGGAUGUGGGGUAGGAAGGUAUUUGGAACGUUCUUCAACGAGUAGAUCUCUUGGUGAGCCUUGAUGUGGGGACUUGGGCCGGAGGGGAUUCAGAGUGGCCACGGUGAUCGCCUUUGGACCUUUAAAUAAGCGUUGGUUUUAAUUUAAUUUCCUUUAAUUAUUAUUUAUUUUUGGGUUGUAAUAA